rnacentral:rRNA from 1 species
AUUGAACGCUGGCGGCAGGCCUAACACAUGCAAGUCGAGCGGAGCGGCGGACGGGGGAGUAAUGCUUAGGAAUCUGCCUGGUAGUGGGGGAUAACGUCCGGUACCGGGCGCUAAUACUGCAUACUAUCACCUUAGCCUAGGCCGGAUUAGCUAGUUGGUGGGGUAAAGGCCUACCAAGGCGACGAUCCGUAACUGGUCUGAGAGGAUGAUCAGACACACUGGAACUGAGACACGGUCCAGACUCCUACGGGAGGCAGCAGUGGGGAAUAUUGGACAAUGGGCGAAAGCCUGAUACAGCCAUGCCGCGUGUGUGAAGAAGGUCUUCGGAUUGUAAAGCACUUUAAGUUGGGAGGCGUUACCAGCAGAAUAAGCACCGGCUAACUUCGUGCCAGCAGCCGCGGUAAUUC